rnacentral:rRNA from 1 species
AACGAACGCUGGCGGCAGGCCUAACACAUGCAAGUCGAACGCCGUAGCAAUACGGAGUGGCAGACGGGUGAGUAACGCGUGGGAAUAUCCCCCUCAGUACGGAAUAGCUCAGGGAAACUUGGGGUAAGUACCGUAUACGUCCGUGAGGAGAAAGAUUUAUCGCUGAGGGAUUAGCCCGCGUAGGAUUAGCUAGUUGGUGAGGUAAUGGCUCACCAAGGCGACGAUCCUUAGCUGGUCUGAGAGGACGACCAGCCACACUGGGACUGAGACACGGCCCAGACUCCUACGGGAGGCAGCAGUGGGGAAUAUUGGACAAUGGGCGAAAGCCUGAUCUAGCCAUGCCGCGUGAGUGAUGAAGGCCUUAGGGUUGUAAUGCUCUUUUGGCGGGGACGAUAAUGACGGUACCCGCAGAAUAAGCCCGGCUAACUUCGUG